AACCUUUUGUAGUUCAUAAGCAUGAUGAUUGGGUGUUCACACCAUUGUGUGGCAUGUGCCUCCCCUAAACCUUUGUUACCACCUUGGCACAUUACCCAUCUGACG
ensembl:snoRNA